rnacentral:rRNA from 1 species
CCUACGGGAGGCAGCAGUGAGGAAUAUUGGUCAAUGGGAGAGAUCCUGAACCAGCCAAGCCGCGUGAGGGAAGACGGCCCUAUGGGUUGUAAACCUCUUUUGCCGGAGAACAAAACCCGGGACGUGUCCCGGACUGCGUGUAUCCGAAGAAAAAGCAUCGGCUAACACCGGGCCAGCAGCCGCGGUAAUACGGAGGAUGCGAGCGUUAUUCGGAUUUAUUGGGGUAAAAGGGUGCGUAGGCGGUCCGUUAAGUCAGCGGUAAAAGUGCGGGGCUCAACCCCGUCGAGCCGUUGAAACUGGCAGACUUGAGUUGGCGAGAAGUACGCGGAAUGCGCGGUGUAGCGGUGAAAUGCAUAGAUAUCGCGCAGAACUCCGAUUGCGAAGGCAGCGUACCGGCGCCAGACUGACGCUGAGGCACGAAAGCGUGGGGAUCGAACAGGAUUAGAUACCCCAGUAGUC